GGUACUGUGGCCGAGUGGUUAUGGCGUCACGUUUAGGUCCCGACCAAUCCGUGAUGGGAAACCUCGCGAGUUCGAAUCUCGUCAGUGCCA